GCAGUAGCCGCGGUAAUACGAAGGGGGUUAGCGUUGCUCGGAAUUACUGGGCGUAAGGGGAGCGUAGGCGGAUCGUUAAGUUGGGGGUGAAAGCCCGGGGCUCAACCUCGGAAUUGCCUUCAAUACUGGCGAUCUUGAGUAUGGAAGAGGUAUGUGGAACUCCGAGUGUAGAGGUGAAAUUCAUAGAUAUUCGGAAGAACACCAGUGGCGAAGGCGACAUACUGGUCCAUUACUGACGCUGAGGCUCGAAAGCGUGGGGAGCAAACAGGAUUAGAUACCCCAGUAGUCCCUGUCUCUUAUAC
rnacentral:rRNA from 1 species